CAACCUGUGGGCAAACGAAAAAAUUUAACCGGGUUGUUUAUGCAUACAAACGGUGUGAUUGGUCAAGAUAGAUUUAAGUUAGAGCUUAUAGAGUCUGGAAGAUCGAGAUUCUUCAUUGUGGCUUUGAUGGUUCUGCUUGUAAAAUAAUUAUCUGACAUCCCUAGCCACAAGGCACAAAGAGAAUCUGGUACACUAUGUUUGAAACUCUGGCUCACGUUCAUCAUGGCGACUGCUUCCAACGGCAACACAACAAGCUUCACGAUGCGACAGUAAGGAACGUACUGAACUAAAGGAGCAAAGAAAAAAGUGCUAUCCUAACAUUGUCUAACUAUUUGUAACUUGGGGAACGGGAAGAUUGUGUUUUCAGACAAGUCUAACCCUAACCCUCAAUUAGAGCAGUCAGAAGAGCCACCACUACACGAGGAUCUAGUAGAGUCUUCGCUAGCUGACUUACUAGAAGAUACUGAGGGAUCUCUUGAUGAACCUUUGACGUCUCCUCAAGAUGCAGGUUGAAACAUGCAGGAGGAGCUAGAUAACGACAGAAAAUUGAUCCACAGGAACCAACGAAUGACGAAACACAAGAAUCAAUGCAAGGUCAUGCGUUGGAGGAUGAUCAAGGAACAAACCAAUCAGAAGUGGAGACCAAGACUGAGUCAAUUGAUGAGCCUAUGAACUGAUACUGCUGUUGACAACCUAGCAACAGACCCAGAAGAGGUGACAGCCCAACCAAGUACAAGUGUUACUGAUAUGUCUGAGAACUAAAAUACCUACUAAUUAUAUCAAGCAUCAUUUUGAAUGCUUGAACGAUGCAACUGUUUCUUGGAAACUACUCCUGUGUGGGAGUGCAAUCUGUUAUUACAGCAAUCAUACAUGCCACAGUGAACAACACAGCUAGCUAACCACAGUAAGAAAAUGCUUCCAGCUGCUCUAAUUGUGCUGCCAAUACACUUCUCAAAGGUGUCACUGUGUGAUUGUUGGGAGAGACCACGAUCUGAAACACAAGAAAUACAAUUGGAUUUCCACCAAACACCAUCAGAGGGUCAGUCAGAAUGGGGUAAUUCUGAGCGUGACUUGGCAGAACCACCUCCCACUGUCGAGGAGGAGCGACACAUUGGACCAAUGUGGAAGCUUAUUCCAUCAACACAGCAGCAACAAGUUGGCGCUGCUCCGUUGUAUAUACGACAGAAACACUGAUACACGACAUUUUGUUUAUGUGUCUUCUCAUGAUCAGUAUUCAGUAUGUUAUAUAAUUAUGUAUACUACCUUAA